CGGACGACACCGCCGAGUCACCUUGACGGUGAACCGGGGACCCACCUCCCCGGGGUGAAUCCGUCGGCCACGUGCCGAUGGUAGGGCGCCGCUUCUGACAAGCGCUUCUUCCCGCCCGAACCCGUCAGCUAACCCGGUAGGCGGUAGCAGGAAGAAGGA
rnacentral:sRNA from 2 species